rnacentral:lncRNA from 1 species
GUGUGUGACUUCACUGAGGACCAGACCACAGAAUUCAAGGAGGUUUUCUAGCUGUUUGACUGAACAGGUGAUGGUAAGAUCCUGUAUAGUCAGUGUGGGGAUGUGAUGAGGGUCCUGGGUCAGAACCCCACCGAUGCUGAGGUGAUGCAAGUCCUGGAGAUCCCCAAAAGUGAUGAGAUGAAUGUGACGGUGCUGGACUUUGGGCACUUCCUGCCCAUGUUGCAGGCUGUGGCCAAGAACAGGGACCAGAGCCUAUGAGGAUUAUGUUGAAGGACUUUGGGUAUUUGACAAGAAGGGGAAUGGCACCAUCAUGGGCACUGAAAUCUAGCAAGUCCUUGUCACACUGGGUGAGAAGAUGAUAGAAGAAGAAGUAAAGAUGCUAGUGCAGGGCAUAAGGACAGCAAUGGUUGCAUCAACUGUGAAGAGCUUGUCCAUGGGGUGCCAAAUGGCUAA